rnacentral:tRNA from 1 species
ACGGGUGUAGCUCAAUUGGCAGAGCAACGGUCUCCAAAACCGUGAGUCGCAGGUUCGAGUCCUGUCACCCGUG